UACGGAGGGGGCUAGCGUUGUUCGGAAUUACUGGGCGUAAAGCGCACGUAGGCGGUUCAGCAAGUCAGGGGUGAAAUCCCGGGGCUCAACCCCGGAACUGCCCUUGAAACUGCUAGGCUAGAGUCUUGGAGAGGUGAGUGGAAUUCCGAGUGUAGAGGUGAAAUGCGUAGAUAUUCGGAAGAACACCAGUGGCGAAGGCGACUGACUGGACAAGUAUUGACGCUGAGGUGCGAGAGCGUGGGGAGCAAACAGG
rnacentral:rRNA from 1 species